GCGCGGUUAGCUCAGUGGUAGAGCACCUCCCUGACACGGAGGGGGUCAGAGGUUCGAAACCUCUAUCGCGCACCA
rnacentral:tRNA from 1 species